UACGAAGGGUGCUAGCGUUGUUCGGAAUCACUGGGCGUAAAGCGCGCGUAGGCGGCGAUGCAAGUCAGAGGUGAAAUCCCCAGGCUCAACCUGGGAACUGCCUUUGAAACUGCAUUGCUUGAGUGUCGGAGGGGAUAGCGGAAUUGCUAAUGUAGAGGUGAAAUUCGUAGAUAUUAGCAGGAACACCGGUGGCGAAGGCGGCUAUCUGGACGACAACUGACGCUGAGGCGCGAAAGCGCGGGGAUCAAACAGG
rnacentral:rRNA from 1 species